AAAGGGAGCAAGAGCUUAGGUAGGGAAGAAGAUGGAUUUUAUGGAGGAAGUUUUUAGAGAGAAUGAAGGGGAGAGAGAAAAAGGGAGAAAUCAUGGAUGAAGAACUAAAGCAAGCAAGAAGUUGGCGUGAAGGAUUUUGGAAGAAUGGUAGAUAAAGACUACAUAUUUUGGUUACUUCUGAGUUUCAAUAGGGGAUUAGAGGAACAGAAGCUGCUAUUCGACUCAUCAGUUUGUUGUUAUAUGUAGCCAAGCAUGGAGUUUUUAAUAGGAUCAUGGUUAUGUAAGUGUAAAUCGAACAAAUAUUGAGAAGAGUCGGGAGGACUUUGAGAAUUGAAUUUGACACAAUGGGAAAACAAGUGAAUGCGAUGACCAUUGGAGAUUAUUUCCAGCCAACUGUUCUUGUGUCACAGCCUCGAAUCGAAUUUGACAAAUGCAAACAAUUUCGAAUUAAAGCCUGGUUUAAUUCAAAUUGCGUGAGAUGGUGCAUUUAGAGGAACAUUGAAUGAGGACCUUCAUGAACAUAUUCAUGAUUUCCUGGAGACUUGUGGAACAGUAAAAUUAAAUGGGGUCUCUAAUAGCACCAAAAUUGUGUUAUUUUUCUCUUCUUAGUUCUAGGUCGCUACUAUGUUUAAUGUGUUUAUUUAAUGAUUUUAUAGGUAUUGAGUAUCUUGGAGGUGGAAUCAGUUAUUACGAGCUGUUCGGGGUUAAUUUGGACCAAUUAAGAGCUAAUUUGAGCAAUUGGGCUUUAAAAGGAUGUGAAAGGACGAAAAUACCCCUAGAUGGAGCAUAGCAACACACAACCGAGAAUUGCACAACACUACAAGAUAGUAGCCUCCAUAAUGCUAAAAAAUAGGGUAGCGUUGCGGCACGUGCGAGGCCUCACAAUGUUGUAACAUUGCAUUGCAGCGUUGUGACACUGCAACUACUAUAUAAAACAUUUCUUCUUCGUUUUUGGGUAGAUUUAUCACCUCCAAUUGGCCCUCCAGCCCAUUUCUUCAUCUUCUUACCUCUCCUACUUAUAAUUUUCUUCCUUUCUAUCAUGUAAUUAGUUGAAAUGGAGCUCAGAUUUGUCUUCUUCAUCCCGUGGGAAGGU